GGCGCCGGCAUGAGGCGCAGGGCCGGUGUCCGCGGGAGGGUGGCGCUGCCGGCGGCCCGGCCGCUCCCGCUGCAAUUGCUCGCUGGGCUCGCCGUGCCCUGCCAGUGGGGCCCCCGCAGCUCUCGUCCCGGCCGCCGCUGGUGACCACUCGCCGCCCCCCCGGAGGCUUCACCCGCGCCCUCCCCCAGGACGCGCCAGCGGAGCUCCGGCCCCUUCGCCCUGGACGCGGAGGCCGCGCUGUGCGGGGCAACGGCGAGGCCGGAAGAUGGCCUGGGUGCUCAAGAUGGACGAGGUGAUCGAGUCCGGGCUGGUGCACGACUUCGACGCCAGCCUCUCGGGCAUCGGGCAGGAACUGGGCGCCGGCGCUUACAGCAUGAGUGAUGUCUUGGCAUUGCCCAUUUUCAAGCAGGAAGAUUCCAGCCUUCCAUUGGAUGGUGAAACAGAGCACCCACCCUUUCAGUAUGUGAUGUGUGCUGCAACGUCACCAGCAGUAAAACUGCAUGAUGAAACGCUUACUUAUUUGAACCAAGGUCAGUCAUAUGAAAUUCGGAUGCUGGAUAAUCGGAAAAUGGGUGAUAUGCCUGAGAUCAGUGGAAAAUUAGUAAAGAGCAUCAUAAGGGUUGUAUUCCAUGACAGACGGCUACAAUACACAGAGCAUCAGCAACUUGAAGGAUGGAAGUGGAAUCGCCCAGGAGACAGACUUCUUGAUUUAGAUAUUCCAAUGUCUGUGGGAAUAAUUGACACAAGGACGAAUCCAAGCCAGUUAAAUGCGGUUGAAUUUCUGUGGGACCCAGCAAAACGCACCUCUGCUUUCAUUCAGGUACACUGCAUCAGCACAGAAUUUACUCCACGGAAGCACGGAGGUGAAAAGGGAGUGCCCUUUAGGAUCCAGGUUGACACCUUUAAGCAGAAUGAAAAUGGAGAAUACACAGAUCAUCUACACUCAGCUAGCUGCCAAAUCAAAGUUUUUAAGCCUAAAGGUGCAGACAGGAAACAAAAAACUGACCGAGAGAAGAUGGAGAAGAGAACAGCUCAUGAAAAAGAAAAGUAUCAGCCGUCCUAUGAUACCACAAUCCUCACAGAGAUGAGGCUUGAGCCUAUAAUUGAAGAUGCAGUUGAACAUGAGCAGAAAAAGUCCAGCAAGCGGACUUUGCCAGCAGACUACGGUGAUUCUCUGGCAAAGCGAGGCAGUUGUUCUCCGUGGCCCGAUGCCCCCACAGCCUAUGUGAAUAACAGCCCUUCCCCAGCGCCCACUUUCACCUCCCCACAGCAGAGCACUUGCAGUGUCCCAGACAGCAAUUCUUCUUCCCCAAAUCAUCAGGGAGAUGGAGCUUCACAGGCCUCUGGUGAACAAAUUCAGCCUUCAGCUACGAUCCAGGAAACACAGCAAUGGCUGCUCAAAAACAGAUUCUCUUCCUACACAAGACUGUUCUCUAAUUUUUCAGGUGCCGACUUAUUAAAACUGACAAAGGAGGAUUUAGUUCAAAUUUGUGGUGCAGCCGAUGGAAUUCGGCUCUAUAAUUCACUGAAGUCAAGGGCAGGCCCAGAUAUGAUGCAGGCACUGAUGAGGGCAGAGGUAGACUGUAAGACUGGUAGAAAUGCACAUGGGCAGUACUGAUUUCUUGAAGACGACUGGGUUUGUUGCCAAGAAAACAAAACUUCUAAUUUAGGUGAGCUAUACAGAAUCUAUGGUUUUCAAGGUCAUGACUAUUACUAAACAGUUAUUAAAAAUGUAAACUAAUUGUGAAUUAAAAUGACAGAAACUGUAAAUUGUGCUGGCUUGUAAGAACCAUUUACUAUCAUUGCUCUUUCUAUACUUGUGGUGUGAGAAUUCCAUUAAAAUUGAAUCUUACUGAUUUUUAAUUUGCUGACUUAAUCUUGAAACUUAAAUUUACCAGCAUCUGACAGACCAUCUCAAUGGUUUAGAGUCUGGAUCAUCAUAUUAGACCACCUGUGAUAGUUGGUGUGAGGUCGGUUAGACCCCGUUUAACCAUCUAUGUCUGCCGGGAGCAGCCAAGCAGCACAGUGCUGCAAGGGCAGCAGCAAGCUGCAAGCAGUGCAAGCGAGAAUGGCAGUGGGGCACCCUAUGUUUAUCAUGCAAUCUACUUGGAAGAAAUGAUUGCCUCAGAAGUUGCUCGAAAACUUGCGCUGGUGUUUAAUAUCCCUCUCCACCAAAUUAAUCAGGUUUACAGACAGGGUCCCACUGGUAUUCACAUUCUUGUUAGUGAUCAGAUGGUUCAGAAUUUUCAAGAUGAGAGUUGUUUUUUAUUCUCCACAGUAAAAGCUGAAAAUAGUGAUGGCAUCCACAUAAUUUUGAAGUGAUGUCUUAUAUAGACUGAACUGUAUUCAGUACCAAAUAGUCACGCUUAAAAGUGUGUGAAGACUGAAUCCAAGAAGUCUUGGGAUUGGAUUUUACCAUAUGAAAUGUUUCAUAUUGAAAACACAAGAUGACCUUUCUAAUGAGCUGUAUGAGAGGUGAAUCUCCUCACUGUCACUGCCAUAGCCAAGCAUCCUCAUGAGAGUGAGCACAUCGGCACAGCAUGCAUCCAGCUCUGGAGGCCACGGUGCAGGCAUAGCUGCCUGCUGCUCUGGCAGAGGCCAGUAAAUACAGUUCCUAGAAGCAGCCUUUGCUGUCUUUUUACACUGUAUGUGGUUUGGAAAUGAAUGUAGAAACUUACUGUGGGCAUUUACCUUUCUGUGCCAGUUUGGCUUUUAUUGCCUGAACCUUAUGCUGACCUGGAGAGGAGAUGGGGGACAGUGCUGUUGUGGGGCCAGCAGUGAAUCUGUAUGCGGAGAGUUGUGUUGUGCUGAUGUGGCCGUUGGUGGUCAGGUAAGAGGCUCGGCACCUUCUUGGAAGAAAUCAUGUCUGAGGGUGUAUGUUUGAUACGAUCAUGCCAGAUUGGAGAAGAUCCAAGCCAGGAAGAUGGGCUUGAAGCAAACUGCAUUAUCAGGAGUACCUUGGUGAGAGGAUCAGUGUAAAUCCUAAUAGGUACAAAGACUUUUGUGUUUUGGCUUUGUCACAGAUUUAUUGAAAAACUUUUUUGCUUCUGCUUCCAUUUUUAGCAUUUUAGUUUCUGGUUUUCAUUUUUGGAGAUUACUUGCCUUUUAAACUCGUGGUUUUUCUCUCGUUUUCUUCCCUCUCUCCCUCCAUCUCUGACCACCCCCACCCUAACCCCCCACCCCCACCAUCCUAUUAAACAUUUUUAAAGCCCUACCCCAGACAUUGGAAAUAGGUGACCCAAGUAGGGGGAGAAAGUAUUAUUGUUGAUAGCUUCUGACUAGGUGUUAAGGGAUCUUCAUUAUGAACAAGAUGAAUUUUUUUGUGGAAACACUAGAUGUUAUCAAUCAAACACUAAAAUGUAUCAUACAAAUCCCUUAAGCCUCUCAAAUAUUGAGCUUUAGUACAAUCAUGGAUAGACAUUCUGGUGAUGAUUUAGGGGCUUUUAUACACCACAUACUAGCUUCUUUCUCUAUAAGAGUGCCUCUUUCAUAAAACCAAAUGCUUGUCUGCUAGCAUACUUUUCAAAGGGAAUCCACUGUUUUCUCACUUUCCUCCCAUAUCUCCGUCCUUCAUCCAAAACCUUCCCAGAAUCCAUCAGCAAGCAUGUUUGAGGCCUGUGGUGUAGGGGACUGAAUUUUUUUUUUAACUUCUAUUCCAUUUUAAUUGUAGGAUAUCUUUGUCCAUAUACCCAGGUGUCCUGAUUUGAAUGUACUAUUUGAUCCUCAUUGUGUUCAGGCAAAAAAUAGGAAAUGAGUAAUUUUGAGUUUGAAAUCUCUCCCAGAAGACAAACUACUUCAGUGAGUAAAAGCUUUGACAUUUUAUGUUUUAUUCAUAAAGGGGGUUAAUUAAUUAUUUGCUACAAAGAAGCACGAUCUAUUUUCAUCAUCGAUUUGAAAAUAUCUGUAACUCCUAUAGAUCCUAUAGGCAGAGAGUUUUCCUUUCUGACUUUUUCCCUUUGCUUUCGUGUGACCACAUGUUUUCUGUACCAGUCACUGGGGAAAGAAGCGAGUUUAUCUCGUUUGUUUGAAAAGUUUUGCUUGUCUAUUUAGCAUUCCUUUUUGGGUCUCAAGAUUUAUGGAACAAUAAAUGUCAUUUAAUGCUGUGUGCUUAUUUUGAAUUCCUCAUCAGGUUUUAGAAGCGGGGUAAAAAUACUUAGAUGCUUAUCAGACUUGAAAUUAUACUGAGUGGCAUUGAACGUGAGUUUGUCCCAGUGAAACAAACAGGCUAAAUAAAUUUUGGCACCAGCAAAUUUGUUACUUUUUUUUUUAAUAGUAGGAUGUACACAUUUCAGUAUAAUAAAUGUUUUCUGAUUGUUUUGCAAA